rnacentral:tRNA from 1 species
CCCUGGCUGGCUGAGUCGGUAGAGCAUGAGACUUUUGGUCUCGGAGUCGUGAGUUCAAGCCCCAUGUUGGGCG